GUUAAUAUUCCCGUACUUCUUACAAUUGCGAUGGGGGGGACGGAGAAGGCUAGGUGGGCCUGGCGACGGUUGUCCAGGUUCAAGUGCGUAGGCUUAAGAGUUAGGUAAAUCCGGCUCUUUUUAAGGCUGAGACACGACGUCGAGCACCUACGGGUGUGAAGUCAUUGAUGCCAUGCUUCCAGGAAAAGCCUCUAAGCUUCAGAUUGUAAGGAAUCGUACCCCAAACCGACACAGGUGGUCGGGUAGAGAAUACCA
rnacentral:rRNA from 1 species